rnacentral:rRNA from 1 species
CCUACGGGUGGCAGCAGUGAGGAAUAUUGGUCAAUGGGCGCGAGCCUGAACCAGCCAAGUCGCGUGAGGGAAGACGGUCCUAUGGAUUGUAAACUUCUUUUGUCAAGGGACAAAAUCAGGCUCGAGAGCCUGACCGAGGGUACUUGAAGAAAAAGCAUCGGCUAACCCCCUGCCAACAGCCGCGGUAAUACGGAGGAUGGGAGCGUUAUCCGGAUUUAUUGGGUUUAAAGGGUGCGUAGGCGGCCUUUUAAGUCAGCGGUAAAAGCCCGGGGCUACACCCCGGCGAGCCGUUGAAACUGGGUGUCUUGAGAGGGCGAGAGGUAUGCGGAAUGCGCAGUGUAGCGGUGAAAUGCUUAGAUAUCGCGCAGAACUCCGAUUGCGAAGGCAGCAUACCGGCGGCGAUCUGACGCUGAGGCACGAAAGCGUGGGUAUCGAACAGGAUUAGAUACCCGAGUAGUC